rnacentral:rRNA from 1 species
UACGAAGGGGGCUAGCGUUGUUCGGAUUUACUGGGCGUAAAGCGCACGUAGGCGGAUCUUUAAGUCAGGGGUGAAAUCCCGAGGCUCAACCUCGGAACUGCCUUUGAUACUGGGGAUCUCGAGUCCGGGAGAGGUGAGUGGAACUGCGAGUGUAGAGGUGAAAUUCGUAGAUAUUCGCAAGAACACCAGUGGCGAAGGCGGCUCACUGGCCCGGUACUGACGCUGAGGUGCGAAAGCGUGGGGAGCAAACAGGG